rnacentral:lncRNA from 10 species
CAGCACAUCUGCUUACAGCAUGGUUUACCGAUUUUUUUUUUUUUUGAGCCAGAGUCUCGCUCAGUUGCCCAGGCUGGAGUGCAGUGGUGCGAUCUCAGCUCACUGCAACUUCCACCUCCCAGGUUCAAGCUAUUCUUCUGCCUUAGCCUCCCAAGUAGCUGGGAUUACAGGUGCACACCACCACACCUGGCUAAUUUUUGUAUUUUUAGUAGAGACAGAGUUUCACCCAUGUUGGCCAGCCUGGUCUCGAACUCCUGACCUCAAGUGAUCCACCCGCCUCAGCCUCCCAAAGUCCUAGGAUUACAGGCAUGAGCCACUGUGCCUGGCCGGUUUUCUGAAUAUUUUAAACCCACUGCUCAGAAAAAAAGAUUCCUUUCAAAAUAUUACUGCUUAUUGGUCUUGGUCUCCAUCAGAGCUCUGAUGGAGGUGUGCAAGGAGACAAAUGUUGUUUUCAUGCCUGCUAACACAACAUCCAUUCUGCAGCCCAUAGAUCAAUUUCAAUUUUCAAGUCUUUUCUUUUUUUUUGAAAUGGAGUCUCACUCUGUUGCCCAGGCUGGAGUGCAGUGGCA